rnacentral:snoRNA from 1 species
CUGCUAUGAUGAUUUGCCAUGCUAAUACUGAGUGGUGUCAUUAUUUGACGACCACUAUGGGUGAAAUCUGUCUCAUUUCCUCUGAGCAUGACAGCUGAUCAUG